CCGUUCAAAUAGGGCGGCACCUUGACGGUACCUAACCAGAAAGCCACGGCUAACUACGUGCCAGCAGCCGCGGUAAUACGUAGGUGGCAAGCGUUGUCCGGAAUUAUUGGGCGUAAAGGGCUCGCAGGCGGUUUCUUAAGUCUGAUGUGAAAGCCCCCGGCUCAACCGGGGAGGGUCAUUGGAAACUGGGGAACUUGAGUGCAGAAGAGGAGAGUGGAAUUCCACGUGUAGCGGUGAAAUGCGUAGAGAUGUGGAGGAACACCAGUGGCGAAGGCGACUCUCUGGUCUGUAACUGACGCUGAGGAGCGAAAGCGUGGGGAGCGAACAGGAUUAGAUACCCUGGUAGUCCACGCCGUAAACGAUGAGUGCUAAGUGUUAGGGGGUUUCCGCCCCUUAGUGCUGCAGCUAACGCAUUAAGCACUCCGCCUGGGGAGUACGGUCGCAAGACUGAAACUCAAAGGAAUUGACGGGGGCCCGCACAAGCGGUGGAGCAUGUGGUUUAAUUCGAAGCAACGCGAAGAACCUUACCAGGUCUUGACAUCCUCUGACAAUCCUAGAGAUAGGACGUCCCCUUCGGGGGCAGAGUGACAGGUGGUGCAUGGU
rnacentral:rRNA from 1 species